rnacentral:rRNA from 1 species
GAACCGUACGAACGUUAUUCGGAAUCACUGGGCUUAAAGGGUGCGUAGGCGGCCUAGUAAGUUGGGUGUGAAAUCCCUCGGCUCAACCGAGGAACUGCGCUCAAAACUGCUAGGCUUGAGGAAGACAGAGGUGAGCGGAACUCAGGGUGGAGCGGUGAAAUGCGUUGAUAUCCUGGGGAACACCAGUAGCGAAAGCGGCUCACUGGGUCUUUUCUGACGCUCAGGCACGAAAGCUAGGGGAGCGAACGGGGAUUAGAUACCCCGGUAGUCCUAGCUGUAAACGAUGAGCACUGGGUUGGAGGGUCCCUCCAUAGCCUUCCAGCCGUAGCGAAAGUGUUAAGUGCUCCGCCUGGGGAGUAUGGUCGCAAGGCUG